UAAACUUUAUCUUGAAAGUAAAAUUUACAAGAAUUAUAAUAAUGAUAAAUAGAGUGCAUGUAAAUAUUUUGUGCUUAGAUAAUUUAAAGAAUUAUUAAGCAGGAUUUCUUUUGCUUAUAAGUAGUAGCAACGUUUUAUAUUAUUGAAUUAAAUAGUUACAGGUAUUUUGUUUACUGAGCCUGGUAUAACUUUCAUGUACUCCUAAAGAAAAAUGGCAUAAUAUGGAAUAAAUAGUUAAUUGCAUAAUAAUAGAAGUCCGAAGAGUCAUAAAAGUAGGACUUUUAGAAUAUAACACUCAACUUUGUAUUUAUUGACGUUUAGGAAAGAAAAUAAACAAGGAAACACAUUUCCUCCACCGGAUGAAAACGCCUAAUCUCUACAAGUUCCUAAUACCGAAGGUUUGGACCGAAAAUUAAUUUUCAAUAGAUAAAUUUUCAGCUGUCUAUGCCGGAUGAGAUUGAUGACGAUAACAUUUGAUAAUGUCGAUAAAACUGAGUUGUCAGAAGACGAAAUGCAACUUAUUUUUGCCAGAACAGAAGAAACAGAAGCAACUAGAGUGGUGCUCCGCCGUGCUACCAUGACCGGCUUCACGAACGAGUCCAAUAGAAAAAACACUCAAAUUUGUCUUUUACAUAUCGAAUUAAGUAUUUCCGCGGCGAUACAUCAAGGCUAUUUGCACGUACAACGGAAGCUUAAUUCGAUUUUCAUCUCUCUACCUGAUACGUAUAUAACGCAAAGACAUCGGGUCUACAAAGAAAACCUUAUUUGCUCGAAUGGUCACAAAUUGGUGCCCGAACAAGGACUCGAUGUUUAAUAAUUGUAUAUAAUUUGCAUAGGAUAAGGAUAGAGUAUAAGUUGUUAUUAACAUUAUUUUUCCAUUGGUGAUUAGUUGGUAAAUUUCAUUGGAAUAAUGCGAUUCUGUAAAUAGAGAAGACAUUUAAAUUGUAAAAAAUAUUUUUUUCGUUUAUAGGUUCGAGGUGUAAUUGUAAAUACGUAUAAGUAAACUCAAAAUAAAGGU